rnacentral:lncRNA from 1 species
UUUUUCUAUUUUUUUUUAGUGCUACAGUAUAAUGUCCAUCUCAACUCAGCCUCUUACACUCUUGAAGGAUUUUAGUUUGCCAAGAUAAUUGAAUUUUAUUAGAUUUUGGAACUGUGAUACAACUUUAUCUUUCACUACCUGUGUGAUCUCUGUUUAGUCCUUGUAAUUAAUCGAGACUUGGUGAAAAAGCAUUAGUUUUUUAUUUUUAACUCUUAGGUUUAUGCUAUUCAGUAUUCUCUCAUAAUUUUUGUUCCCAAAAUGUCAGGUUUAUUGCAUGGCUUACUGGGUUUGAUGUUUUGUAGAAUAAAAUAAAGUGCAUAGAAAUAAUGUAUAGCAUGAGGUUAAAAUUUGGACCACUACCCUGUCCAGUGGUGUCUCACCGAAGAACGAGCCACUAGAUGGCUGUAUGUCCCACAGCUGUGGGAGCCAGUCUGUGCCGAAAGCAUGUCCCUGUUUUUGUCAGUAUUCGGCUACUAAAUCUGGGUACCGACACCCUGUUACUCCUGUUGCAGAUAGUGAUGUCCAUGAUGGAUUGAAUAUGACCUAGACUGAGGACAACUACUUUUUGCAAAGGACAGUGGAUUAAUCCCAGUGUCUUCCAAACAGAUGUUGAGAUGGAGAGUGCCUGUGAUGAUCAUGAAAGAAAAGGUGCCAUUCAUUCUCUUCAAGUAUGUCACAAACACACAAACUUCCGUUCAAGCCAGAAGUUGCUCCACUUUAUUAAUGAUGUGAAAGAGGAGAUGAACAAAUAGUAGGUUUAUGUGUAACCCUCUCCUGGACUUAGAGCAUUAAUCAGUGGCCCUCUUUGGAUAUCUGGAUAUAGAUUGGCAGAAAAAUAUCUGAAAGUGCAGCUGCAUCAUCUUAAAGAAUUUUAUUGGCAAAAAUUUCACAGGGACAGUUUUCCCUACUGCGUAUUGCUCAUCUUGAAAGAAGAAAGAGUUGUGUGUGUCAACUUCAAAAAUGUAAACUGCUUGGAGCCAGGUCCUAUCAGUCUGCCUAGAAAUAUAAACCUUGGCCUUCAUUACGAAAGACGUCCUAAUGAACUUUUAGUUAUCAGUAACAUAUCUACAAAGGCAUUUUAUUACUAAUAACAGGGAAGUCACCAUACAUGCUGCCAUAGAACUGUUUUGUAGAAGUGUUACAGUCCUGCACAUUCCUGUUUAUCAAGACUUCCCUGAGCUGACGUAAGACGGCAAUCUUCGUUGAUGUGAUGGAAGCCUUGCCACUUCUUCAGAAUCUCCUGCUCAUAAUGUGUUAUGCUACAACUAGCAGAAGCAAGUGAAUGAAAAAUAAAUAAAAAGAUACCUGGAAAAGGGCUGUAUAAAUAAAUGUGUUCCAUAACAUAGCAUGAAAGCAGAAUGUCCUGUCUCAAUAAAAACAAACAUCUGCAGACAA